GAGCGUAGCUUCCUUGUCGUGUGGCCUCAGUCCUUCGCCGUCCCUCGCCGUCCUUCGCCAUCGCACGCCACCGCACCCCAUCUCUCGAAAUCUGCAGACAUCUUGAUUUUUCCCACGCUGUCUGUCAGGUCUCCGCCGCCACUCGACGCCAGGGCGCCGGGUGAGUCCACAGCAGGGCGCAUGGUCGGCUCCACUCUCACCAUCGGGGGAAACUGAGGCCCCGGGGAAGGCGGCCAGAGAGGUCAGGCCCUGUCCUUGGUGCAGUGUCUCGUCCUCUUUGCCGGAGUGAGCCCCCCAGGAUUCGCGUGUCCUCGGGAAAGACACUGGCAGGAGUGUCACAUGACUGCCGCCCCAUGUGUGUGAGAGGCGUCCUCUGGGAGAGCAUGGAUCCUGAGGUCCCAGGAUUGUCAGCUGACCUCUGUCCUGUGUGCCCAGUGGCCCCAGGUGACGUGUCUUCAAGAAGAGGCUGAGCUGCGGUGCUUGUAAGGUCUCAGCCUUAGAUCCAAGGACAGUCCAAGGAAGUCCUAAGACCAUGGAGUUGGUGAUCUGGGAUCUGGGUUUGCUGAUAUUUCUCACCGUGAAUCUCUUGGUGGUGUUUGUGGGCACGAGAGGGGCAGAGAAUGGAGAGUGAGGCUACCACAUGAAGCGUCACCAGAGCUGCUCCCUGCUGCCUGCUCAGAGCACCCCGGAUCCACUGUUCAAUCUGCACAAGAUUCGGGGUCCAGACAUGGGAGACUUCAGCUGCCUCAGAGGACCGUGGACAGGGAAGGCCAGCCUCGCAUCCCUCUGUCCAUGCCUGGAAUGACUUUAAUAACCAAGAGUUUUAUUUUUGAAUUUGUAGCUGUCGUUCACUUUUUACCCACCCAUUCAAUAAACCUUACAGAAUUGCUCCA
rnacentral:lncRNA from 1 species